UAAACACGCGUGCCCUUGCGACAGCAAUUAAAGGGGUGAUAUCAUGCUUUAUAAACUUUUCCCUUUACGUAAGACUGUUAUAUGACGUAUGUAUACAUACAUGUUUUACUUCUGCUAAACUAAAACAAUCUGAGCGCGAGCCAGGGGGAGGAUUCGCGCCCCCCAAAGGAACGCACCGCAAUAAGAAUCGUGAAACAGCUAGUUUUUGAAAGACGCUGAAAUUGGUUUUGCAGAAAUUAACAGUGUGAGAAUAAUAAGGUGCAUUUCUAACAUACAGACUUUAACCGACACCAGGAUGAUGAAGACAACGGCCAGGAACACGACCACCGCCGCCAGACCGGUUACCGCCAUCUCCAUGACGCAUGCCGACUUAAGCGAUGAUGGAUG